rnacentral:rRNA from 1 species
CCUACGGGAGGCAGCAGUGAGGAAUAUUGGUCAAUGGGCGCGAGCCUGAACCAGCCAAGUCGCGUGAGGGAGGACGGCCCUACGGGUUGUAAACCUCUUUUGCCGGGGAGCAACGGGCGCCACGUGUGGCGCCACUGAGAGUACCCGGAGAAAAAGCAUCGGCUAACUCCGGGCCAGCAGCCGCGGUAAUACGGAGGAUGCGAGCGUUAUCCGGAUUUAUUGGGGUUAAAGGGUUCGUAGGCGGAUCGUUAAGUCAGUGGUCAAAUUGAGGGGCUCAACCCCUUCCCGCCAUUGAAACUGGCGUUCUUGAGUGGAAGAGAGGUAUGCGGAAUGCGUGGUGUAGCGGUGAAAUGCAUAGAUAUCACGCAGAACCCCGAUUGCGAAGGCAGCAUGCCGGCUUCCGACUGACGCUGAAGCACGAAAGCGUGGGGAUCGAACAGGAUUAGAUACCCGUGUAGUC